GCCUCCGUAGCUCAGCUGGAUAGAGCGUCCCCCUCCUAAGGGGAAGGUCGCAGGUUCGACUCCUGCCGGGGGCACCA
rnacentral:tRNA from 1 species